rnacentral:rRNA from 1 species
GCCGCGUGCAGGUGAAGAAGGCCUUAGGGUUGUAAACCGCUUUCAGUUGGGACGAAGCUUCACAGGUUAAUAGCCUAUCGGAGUGACGGUACCUUCAGAAGAAGCGCCGGCUAACUACGUGCCAGCAGCCGCGGUAAUACGUAGGGCGCGAGCGUUGUCCGGAAUCAUUGGGCGUAAAGCGCGUGUAGGCGGCUUACUAAGUCUACUGUGAAAGUCCAGGGCUCAACCCUGGAAUGUCGGUGGAUACUGCUGAGCUGGAGUACGGGAGGGGCGAGUGGAAUUCCUGGUGUAACGGUGGAAUGCGCAAAUGUCAGGAGGAACACCUAUGGCGAAGGCAGCUCGCUGGAACGUUACUGACGCUGAGACGCGAAAGCGUGGGGAGCAAACAGGAUUAAAUACCCUGGUAGUCCACGCUGUAAACGAUGGAUACUAGGUGUGGGGGGUGUCAACUCCCUCCGUGCCGAAGCUAACGCAUUAAGUAUCCCGCCUGGGGAGUACGGCCGCAAGGCUAAAACUCACAGGAAUUGACGGGGGCCCGCACAAACAGCGGAGCAUGUGGUUUAAUUCGACGCAACGCGCAGAACCUUACCUGGGCUUGACAUGUGCCUGAUCGG